rnacentral:lncRNA from 1 species
ACCUUUGUUGGUUGAUUGAUCUUAAUUGAUACUCGACUAAUUUCCUUUCCUUGUUUGCUUAUCUGAUUUCGAGUAUAAAUACAUGCUUUUCUUUUCACUUGACACCAUCGAAUUCUAACUCCAAAACAAAGUCAGAAUUCAUCUCUCUUCUUUACUACUGCUAUUACUACUCUCUAUUUCUAUACUUCUCUACACUCAAUGUUGUUUGAACUACUAGACAUUUCGGAGUUUCUUGAGUUCGUUCUGGACUAUUUCUGGCUGUCUGUUUGCUGCUGUAGUCUGCUAUCCUAGAAGUAUAACUGGUAUGUUAUGUUAUGCUCUACGGCAUCCUUAUUUAGUUUCUCUGCUUCUACUCCUUUUUUUGUGUGCUCCUUUAUGCUUUCUUGCACUAUGUAAUUACUUGGUCCCCUUACCCUAUUCCCUUUUUAUGUGAGUUUGUUCUGGGUCAUAUCAGCAUUAUGAAUUGCUAUAUGUGAUUCAGCAGUAGACUCUUUUGAGUCUCUACUCGACUACUUUCCCAUUCCCUUUUCUCCAAUGUGCUAAGCUCUAAUUUGGGUCUGUUGAUGUCCUAAUCAUCAUUCAGGCUUAAGUUCGACUCAUUAAGAGUCUGCUCUUAUUUUUUUGAAUCUGAGUAUGAUGUUAGGGGUGUGCCAGUCUAUGUAAUGACUGGGUAUGACCACCUCAUGCUGAGCUUUCUCUCUUACUUUACACCUACUUCUAGCUCUUAAGUUCUAACCCCCUAUGGUAAGCCAUGCUUAGGGACCCUAGAGUUCCCUCUGAACUUGGAUGCCCAAUGGCUGGUAAUUCCACAUAUUGCACUACGCUCAACCUUUAGAGUGUAAGAAUUUCCUGGGCUCUUGAAGACCCUUGGAACUUUGAAACACUCUAAGAGAAGGCCUUGGAAUCUGGAAUCCGGAUUUGGUGAAAC